rnacentral:lncRNA from 1 species
CCCAUCGGCACGCAUCUCCACAGCGUGCUCAGGCUGAGGGUGAGGGGUUUACACGCUUGUCCCAAGACAGCCUCCAGGAGCCAGUCCUCUCCUCCAGCCCAGAGAGCACCCGAACACACUCCUACAGCCGGCUACCAAACGCACUGCACAUCACCAGCCCAAAAUCACAGAGUCACAGAGAGCAGCGACGGCUGUCAGCCUCACCAAACACUGAGAAAGUCACGAACAUCAACCAGCAAUUCCUUCUCUUUCUCAAUAUCCAUGCUAUUUAGGUACUUCAUUAUUUAUUUAUUUAUUUAUUUAUUCCUCAAGGAAAUACAUUCUUGCUCCUGGUUGCAAAUUAACAGAGUGUCCUGCAAGUGGGUCUGAUCUGGUCGGUCGCUACGUGCCUCGCCUAAGCGCAAGGCUGUAAGUCUUAGCCCCGAAUAGCAACGCUCCACGGUUCCUAAAGGAGAACUGUUUUAUUUUAGCUAGUGCAAACAUAUGUGCAUCAACACUCUUCUCGACAGACGACUCCUGAGCCCAAACAGAUCGGUUUUAUUUCAAUCCCGUCCCGCUCGUCUUUUGGAAGCCUCCAACUACCGAACGGCGUCAAGCAUUUCCAUGGGUUUUUCACUUGGGUUGUUUUUUUGGUCCUUUAGUCCAUCUCCUAAAAACUCACCGAAUGACGCACGAACGCUGUUUGCGCCCGUCUUCGGAAAGAACAAGUGGUUGGUGUGAUAUUACUCGGUUUUAUGAUACCUCUGCUUUUUCCCCAACAAAUACACAAAGCUCCAAAUUCACCCGAAGACGCACAGAAGUCUCGCUUACCGAACAAACUAUCGCAAAGUCACGAAAAGCCCCGCAGACCGUACACACGCUUCACCCUUCCCACACCGCUUUCGUACGUCAAAGCGAAACACCGAGAGAACCUUUAGCUCUUCAUCCGUACGCCGCCGAAACGACGCAUUUUCAGGGGACGCUCCGCGCCAGGUGACAAGGGAGGAGGAGGAUUAAAGAAGUGAAAGCUUGAAGCAGAGUAAGGAAGAAUGUGGUGGAAAGAAAAUAAUCACAGCUCUUUAGAAGACAAGUGAUCACAGUUGUUUUGUUUUAGAGCCAUCCUUUAUCAUUUUAUUUGCUGUGGCUGGGCUUAUCAACUCUAUACAGGUGAGGUGCAGGGUCUAUUGAGAUUAUUCUGUUUAGGUCUGAUCCUGUCACCUGUGGGGAUGAGCGAGGAGAUGAUGAGAAAACUCAGACAGAGUAAAGAAGCGUACAGAAUAUGGAAAGGGGAACAGGGCACUUGGGAUGAAUAUAGGAAUGUUGUCGGAGUAUGCAUGGAUGUGAUAAGAAAGGCUGAGACCCAUUUGGAAUUCAUCUGGCAAGGAGUGUGAAGGACAACAAGAAAGACUUCUUCAAAUAUAUCAGGAGCAAAAGGAAGACUAGCAAAAAUGUGGGCCCACUACUGGACGGGGCUGGGUCCUGCAUCUGCCAAGGAAUAACCCUAUGCACCAGUACAGGAUGGGGGCUGACCUACCAGAAAGCAGCCCUACAGAGAAGGACCUGGGAGUCCUUGUAGACAGCAUGCUGAGCAUGAGCCAGCAGUGUGCCCUUUGUGGCCAAGAAGACCAAUGGUAUCCUGGGCUUCAUUAGGAAGAGUGUUGCCAGCACGUCCAGGGAGGAUCUUCCCCUCUACUCAGCCCUAGUUAAGCAACAUCUGGAGUACUGUAUGCAGUUCUGGGCUCAGCAGUACAAGAUAGGGAACGGAGCUCCUAGAGUGAGUCCGGCAAAUGGCUACAAAGAUGCUUAAGAGGCUGCAACAUCUCUCCUAUGAGGAAAGUCUGAAGGAGCUGGGCCUGUUAAACCUGAAGAAGCCUGAGAGGGUAUCUUAUUGUGUACAAAUAUCUUAAGGGAGGGUAUCAAUAGAAUGGGGUCAGUCUGUUUUCUGUGGUGCCUGGCAAAGGAUGAGGCAACAGGCUCAAACUGAAACAGGGGAAGUUUUAUCUGCAUAUGAGAAAAAACUUCUUUGAGAGUGGCUGAGUACUGGAACAGGCUGCCCAGAGAGGUUGUGGAGUCUCCUUCUCUGGAGAUACUCAAAACCCAGAUGGACAUGAUCCAAGUACUCUAGGUGACUGCUUGAAGCAAGGAGAUCGGAUCAUUGUUCUAUGAUACUAUGAGUAGAUGAUCCCAAUUGGUCCCCUCCAACCCCAACCAAUUGUGAUAGAUAAAUGCCAGAAGAACACUGAACUGAAGAAUAAAGGGUACCCUGUCAGAUUCCAGAAACUCCAUGGCUAUACUGUUCAAAUGUUUCAGUAACCUAUUCAAAACUUUUCCAUUAUUUUUUUCUGCAAAGCAACUCAGUUUUUUUCUCAUAUUUUUCCCAGCAGAGGCUAGUAAUGAUUACACCAUAUCAUUCUAAUUUGUAGGAUUUAAUAAGCUUCUUCUAAAAAAGAGAGGAAAACUGAAAAAAUAAUCAUUUCCUUCUUUAAUUUGCCAGACGUCGUUGUUUUUAAAACUCUGGUCACUCUUGUUGCCCUACACUGAUUUUCUUUUGGGGAUCUUUUUUACUUGAAGUAUUGUGUUUUAAAACUAGGCACUGCUUGAUUUCUGUAGUUACUGUAGCUUCUUAUUUAAAACCAAUAUUCUCAUGUGGCAAAAUGGGCAGGAUGAUGUUUGUCCAUCACAGCUCAGUUCUUCAGUGGAAACAUAGGUAAAGCAGGAAUAACAAAGCAGUUAAUUAUCAUUCCCUGGAGGAAAUGUGAGCUGUGGAACAUGAAUAUUCAAAAAGUCUAAUCAAUACGUAAAUUAAUUAUUCAGUUGUACAUUUAAUAAAAUGAUAUAAAGUUAUCCAGUCGGUACUUUGCAGCUUUCUAAAGUAUCCAGUUCAACCACACUAAAAUCUUUGGAAAGAGGGCAGAGUAUGUGUUUAUGCCAAAACAGCUUAACUUUGUAUGCCACUACUACUCUCCCUUCAAAGGUUAUAGAAAUUUUCCAGAAUAGUCUAAACACUCCCUUUUUUUUUUUUUUUCCAUAAAAAGACUGCAGACUAAGAUAAGGCACCCUUAUUUUUAUUGCACAACCCUGAUCUGCUCACUGCACUGUACUAUUCUUGCUGGUUCUUUGUACACCAAAGAGUGGUAAGAUUAAUUAAAGCAACCUGGCUGCCUAGGGGAGCUGCAUGAGAAUAUCCUGAGCCAUAUUUCAAGUGAAGACUUCUGCACAUUGUGUCAGUGGCAGCCAUCAUGGUCAGGAAAUUUUCCUGCCUGAACAAUGCCAGCCUUAUGCAAUAGCCCUCCCCACAGCUCUAAAGAUGACAAGUCUCAGCAGGAAGAAAAAAAUGAAGCAACGGUGAUUUCUAGUGAUGUUCUGCAGUGAUUUGGAAACUUUCCACCUUCAAGCCUUCGCUUCCCUGUGUGGAGAAAGACCAUGGCUGGAACUUGCACUGGUGCCACUGUAUCACAGAAUCACAGGGGUUGGAAUGGGACCUCUGGAGAUCGAGUCCAACCCCGUGCUGAAGCAGCUUCCCUACAGCAGGUCGCACAGAAAAGCAUCCAGACGGGUCUUGAAUUCAUCUUCAGGGAAGGAGGCUCUGACUGGCUCAGCCUGAAGCGACCUAAAGAUGUCGGCUCGGCUUUGAACGCAAGACAGCAGGUAACCCCCCACACACGCGCCGCGGCUGAUUGCUGGGGCAGGGCCGGAGCGCCGCGCUGUGCUGGCGGCGGGACUGUGCCCAUGGCCGUGCCCGGCCCGCGGCUCGCGGCUGCCGCCCGCCGGAUGGAGCGGGCUUCGCAGGGAGGCGGUGGCCGGGGCCUGGGCCUAGGCCCGGGCCGAGGGUGGGCCUCGCGGCCGGCUCCUCCUCCGUGGGGCGGUGGGAGCUGUCCGGAUCCGCUGCGCGGUACCGGGUCUGCUCCUCAUGGCAGCCGCUACCUCUACGUGGAGUCUGUCGUUUGGCUGUGUGUUGUUGAUGGGAUGGCAUCAAAGCAAGAUGGAGCCGUGGGCGCCUCCGGUAGCGCUCUGCCCUGCGGAUGAGUGCCAUCACUGUUAGAGCUUUCCUCUAAGCCUCGGGAUUACUGAGAACACCUUUUGUCUAUAUUAAAGAGCCCUUCAGCAAACUUUUUUUGUUGUUCCUAAGGGGAAUUCUCAGCACUCAGAUCAUGCUACUUUGCCAAAUUCUCGUUCAUAAUCCAGAAAAAACAAUCUAAUGAAGACAGCCAGUGCAUGGAAAUGUCUCCUAUCCAUCUCUCAGAACACCUCACGUCCUCACUCUCAUCUUUUCAGUUUUACACAUAAGGCAUGAGAACCAGCGGCAGUAUUUUGCUGUUGGAUUCCUCAGGGCUGUGAAUGGAGAUGUCACUUCCAUCUCUUGCUGCCGUCCCUUGUUGUCACAGAAUAUCCCGAGUUGGAAGGUACCCAGCAGGAUCAUCGAGUCCAACUCCUGGCUCCACGUAGGACCGCCCAAAAUCCAGUUAUAUUUCCCUUUCACUGUCAUUACAGAAGCAUGCUCUCAUUUUUGUGCCCAAACCAGCUGGUGGUCAGGGUCCCUGCUUGUCAGGUGCUCUUCCACCUGUAGGCAUCUAUUCCAAAUCCACUGUUGUUUGCUUCUCUGCUUUGAGACACUUGUGUGAAUUAGCUCACCUCACAGAAUAAGCCAGAGCAGGGCUGUCUUGCUGUAUUAUUACCACUCUGGUAAAUUUGGAGCUGACUGUAAACAAGAGGGAUGACUUGUAAAUUUCCUGCAAGAUUGUUCCUACUGCCAAUACCUGCGGAAUGUCUCUGGAAAAAAAGCUUUGACCAACAACUGCUUUUCAAGUAUUUUUAUGUCUGUCAGUUAAUCAAUUAUUAGGCUAUUUUAUUUGGAACAUUUCUCUCUCUGUCUCUCUCUCUCUCUUUAUUUAUUUAUUUUGGUAAAUCAUGUUACAUUAAAGCACGCAGUUUAUCAAUGUCCAUGUGUUUUUCAUCAUUACCUCUUUGCAUUUCAUUACCUCUUUUACCUCACUUAGGACUUGUCUAAAAACAAAUCCAGAUUUAUUUGAUAUGAUGUUCUUUUUAUUUUUCUUUCCCCCUAUAAAAAGGAUGCUAAUUACAUUUGGAUUUCCCACAGUGACCCUUUCCUCAACUAGUAUCCAUCAGUGCUCCUCCAGGGUUCUGAAUCUUCCUGGUCUUCUGAGGAACGAGAAGUAAUGAUGGAAGUAGCAAAGAUUUUACAAAGAGGAAAAGUGAAGACUGUGUGGCAGAAUUCUUUGACGUUUGUGACGGAGUUCUCUCCCAGGACAGCCAGGAGCUGUCCACACUUGUGGCUCACUCUGUAAUCGUACCAGCAUUUUACUUUAUUUUUGGCUUUGUGAGUUUUUAAUUUGCUCGGUGCUAUUAACAUGACUAAUGAUGCUGUGGGAUGCCUAAUCCCUUCAUCACCAGAGCAGCAAAAUUCUCAGGGCCACAGCUUUGUUUCAUUACCCAGAAAUCUGUCCACGUUUCUAUAUGCAUUUAAGGCAAUCCGCAUUUUUUUGUGUAAUUUUGUGACAAAACAAAAAAACAAACCCUACGAAGCAAAGUCCCCUUUAAAUCAGCAGCUCAAAAGUUACUCUCUGAUACCAGAUCCAGAGAUCAAAGCUUACUUUCAUUGUUUAAAGACAUUAUUUUUCUAUGCUUACAGAUGGCAACAAACGGUAUUCUUUCUUUCCAUUAAAUGUACAGAGUUGCCCUUCGUAAUGAUUUUUAAAUGAUAUUAACAGUUGCUGCACAUUAUCCUACCAUCUUGUUACUUGGCUUAUUUUGUUAGUCUAAGUGUAUUAAUUUUAGUACACGUCGGUACUGAUUUGCACAGAAACAUUUCUGAGUAUCUAACUAGAGACAAAGCUCAGGAAGAGCAACGAUGUGUGAGUUUUACAUUUAACUGCUUUGAGAAGAAAGUGAAAAUUCAAGUGGAAAGGGAGCCAAUUAUGAAAACAAAGCCUUACGUGCAUCAGUGCAUCGUAAGAACAGCUUUGAACACACAAGCUCAAAACACGAAAUCACAGGACUGCUUGUCAUGGACUCCACUUGCCUAAAUAAGAAUAUUAUUUUAAGAUUCCCAUGUCAUUCACCCACCUCCAAAGUAACAAUCUUUACAUGUGUAGGAGUUACUGAUUUCAGUGUUAUCACGUAGGUAUGAUGCUCUGACCACAAAUUCAGAAUAAACGAGAAACAUUAAAGCGUGAGAGUGGAAGAAGGAAGAGGGCACAUUGUAAAAGCCACUGUAGCUACAACCAGCUAAAAAAAUCUUGAGGGACUGCUAACAUUUAGUUCUGCAAACACACAAAGAUAACUCAUCUUUAAACAAAAUUCAGGACUAUCUCCUCAGCUGCACUGGAUGUGGUAUCACUCAGGACAACGUAGCCCCAAACCUUGCAUUUUGCAGGGCUGCAACGAGAUAGCUGAGUCCUGCAGACUGAUUGCUGAGUGAUGCCUGCCCUUGUGUGAACCCCUGUGCAUGUACUGGAGCGUUGAGUGUGUAGCCCUGGCUAAAGGCAUCUCUGCUAUGUAGGAAGGAGCAUCAUGGAGAGGGUUUGUGGUAAGCAGCAAUAUCCCUCGCUCCAGUGGUAGAGCUUUGGAAAUGAAGUUAUAAAAGGUUAUAUCUUUCAGCUUAAGGACUGUAAUUCUGGGGCUCAGAACAAGUAUACACAGCAAAAUGCAAGGCAUUUCCCACUUAGUACAGUCUGAAAACAUGCAUAUUUUAAAUGACUUUAAUACAAAAAUAAAACAAUCUUUUGUGAAGAAUGCUAUAAAUUCUAGGAGUCAGGACUACCUUUAUCUCAAAUACCAUGAGAUACUCCCUAGAUUACUUCAUGCUCUCUAGGUCUGAAUUGCCUCUCCGUUUUUGCCCUCUUC